CCCCCGCCCGCCGGCCAAGGUGCCCUCCGCGCCGGCCGGCACCCACCUGCGGCGGGCGGCCGCUGCCGGCGGGGGCAGCCCCGUACCUGUCCCCGCCACGCCGGCGGCAGCGGGCCGGGCCCGGUGACAGCUUCAGCGACCAGAGCUGUCUGAAACGUCUGGAAUCACCCAGAGUUUUUCGAGUGCGAUACAGCACCAGGCUGGCUGCAGGAGGCCUGAUCCUGCCUGUAACCCAAGCUUCUGCUGCUGUGCCCGUCCCUGCCAAAAGCAGAGGCUGUGGAUGAGUGACCCGAGGCCAAUUUGUGCUGCAAGUUGUUCAGUCAAGUCAAGCUGCAGCUGGGGGUGGGCUGUGAGUGCAAGGAGGAGGAACAGAACCACCACACAGCAGAGGGGUGAAGGAGAAAUGACCCAGCAAGUAAUUGAAAGAGCGGAGGUGCCUGGCGUCGCACACAUGAGAUGGUAUCUCUGGAGAGAGAGUAGAGAUAACACGACUGAGUACCCUGCGUCAGAAAACGGACCAUUAACAGGAAAAAAGA